rnacentral:misc_RNA from 1 species
GUAUAGUAGUGCUUGUGCACAACAAGAGUUUCAUUACAUUCGAGUUUGUAUGUAAAAUCCUCUGCCCGCCGAAGCUAGCAAGAGGCCAAAGGUUCACAGGGGUAUUGGAAUGAAAGCCACCGACGUGCACUUGCAAGAGCCAGCACCGAAGGCAACCAUUCGCAAUCAUUAAUGAUCCUUCCGCAGGUUCACCUACGGAAA